rnacentral:rRNA from 1 species
GAUGAACGCUGACGGCGUGCUUAACACAUGCAAGUCGAACGGUGAACGAGGGAGCUUGCUCCCUCCGGAUCAGUGGCGAACGGGUGAGUAACACGUGAGCAAUCUGCCCUGGACUCUGGGAUAAGCGUUGGAAACGACGUCUAAUACCGGAUAAGAGGCGUGGGGGCAUCCCCAACGCCUGGAAAGAACUUCGGUCCAGGAUGAGCUCGCGGCCUAUCAGCUUGUUGGUGAGGUAACGGCUCACCAAGGCGACGACGGGUAGCCGGCCUGAGAGGGUGACCGGCCACACUGGGACUGAGACACGGCCCAGACUCCUACGGGAGGCAGCAGUGGGGAAUAUUGCACAAUGGGCGCAAGCCUGAUGCAGCAACGCCGCGUGAGGGACGACGGCCUUCGGGUUGUAAACCUCUUUUAGCAGGGAAGAAGCGAAAGUGACGGUACCUGCAGAAAAAGCACCGGCUAACUACGUGCCAGCAGCCGCCGUAAAAC